UCCCCCCCCGACGGGAGGGCUCAUACGUCACAAUAACUGUCACACCUCCACAUCGUGUUUUGAAGUCUUUUAAUAGAUCAGCUCUUUUGUCGAUCAAGGCUCUCCGUCCUAGGAUUGGUCGAGAGUUUUCUGCAAGGCUGUACCUGAGAAUUCUCCCAGAAGCCCCUUUGCAAUAGGUUGUACAUCAAGCCGUUUCAAGACGCUGUGCCGCAUGAUUGGCUGGAACAAGGUUUGCCCCUCCUCUUAGGAAGAUACAGCAAUCCGAAAGCGAUGACGGCCAUCACUCUUCUUCAGGAGCAUGCGCAGAAGCCGCCUGGCCGGCAGGUCAAUCUCUUAAUCUUAGACGCGAAUCCAAUUUUCCAGGGAAAUUUCGCUUCUUCCGAAUGACGCUCCACCUGUCACCACCACCACCACCCGGCGGACCGAGACGCUCCCGCCGAG